GAUUUUGACACAUCUUGGCAACACGUCUUUCGUGCAGAGUGUUCGGAAGAUUGCUGCGUUUUGCUUCUCUUCAGUUAAAUUUGUGUAAUUUGCUGUGGAUAUUCACUAAAACUUGGUUUCGUAAGUAACAUAAAUCACUGAGGAGUAGGAUGUAAACAAUCACCAAAUUUCAACUGCUGAGGAUGGGACAUCGGUUG